AUGGACAGGAGUGGCUUUGGAGAGAUGUUAUCCCCUGUAAUCCGAGAGCCAGAGGUGACACGGACUGCACGGAAGCAGAGUGCUCAAAAAAGAGUUUUAAUUCGAGCCUCCCAUGAUGAAAAUGUUGGGAAUUCUACACCAAGAAACCAGAUGAUUCCUCGAACUCCCAGCUCAUUUCGACAGCCUUUUACUCCUCCAAACCGAAGCUUACCAAAAUAUCCAGAUGUUUCCUGCAUUUUGGGAACAGAAGAGAGGUCUCCUCAGCUCACACAGUCUUCAGGAUUUUUGGGAAAUAUGUCCAUGAUAACGAAUCUGGACGACAGUAACUGGGCAGCUGCAUUUGCAACACGGCAUUUAGGACUCUUCACGAAAACAGAGCCCAACAACCUCACAGAGGAUGCAAAUGUCAGCGCAGUUAUGUUACGUGAAGAUGAUCCGGGAGAAGCUGCAUCCUCAAGCAUGUUUCCUGAUUUCCUGCAGUCUUUUUUAAAGCAUUCUUUAUCUACAGUUUUUGACCUUGUGGAAGAAUACGAAAAUAUUUGUAGCAAUCAGGUAAGCAAAUUUUACUUCAUUGGUCAGUCUUCAGUACUUCUUGGUUUUGAACAGCAUCAACUUGUUCUUUUCCAUACUGUGCUUAAGGGAGACGUCUGAGAGGCACAGGGGCAGGAGUGGUGGGGACGUCAGCCAGAGCGACUUGCUUUCUGUAGAAGGAAGCUCUGUACAGUAUCUCUUUGGUGAAAAAAAAGAAAUCUGCUGCUUAAAAAAAAAACAGCCUAAAAUAUACAAAGAGUUCAUAAAACUCAACAAUAAGAAAACAGACAAAAAACUGAACCAAAAAGGAAAAAAAAUGGGCAAAAGAUGAGAAAUGAGUACCCCACCAACAAUGGUAUGCAGAUGGCAAAAAAGCUUAUGAAAAAAAAUGCUUCACAUCAAAUAUUAUUAGGGAAUUGCAAAUGUAAACCAGACACUGUCCCAUACUUAAAUAGAAUGGCAAAAUUCCAAAAUACUAUGAUAUCACCAAGGUCUGAUGGGAAUGUGGAGCAACAGGAAGUCUCAUUCACUGGUGAUGAGAAUACAGAAUGUUCCAGCCAGUUUGGAAGACUGUUUCUUACAGAAUUAAACAUGCUCUUACUAUAUGAUCAGCAGUUACACUCUGGCAUAUAGCUAUGUGAAUUAAAAAUUUGUCCACACACACCAAAGCCUGCAUAUGGGUGUUUAUAGCAGCUUUAUUCAUAAAGAUUUGGAUGCAACCAAGAUGUUCAUCAGUUGGUGAGUGAAUAAACUGUAAUUUAUCCAGUAAAUGAAGUAUCAUUUAAUGUGAAGAUGAAAUGAGCUAGUAAGCCCUGAAGAGACCCAGAAAUCAUUUUUGGUUUUUGAGAUAAGGUUGCAUAGUGUCAUCCAGGCUGGCCUCAAACUUAGGAUCUUCCCCUUAUCCUCCCAAGUGCUGGGGUUGCAGGUGUGCAUCACCACAUCCAGCAACAGAGAAUCUCAAAUGCAUAUUGUUGAUGAAAAAAAACAAUCUGAAAAGGCUAUAUACUGUACAGUUCCAACUGUGUUACAUUCUGGAAAAGACAAAACUAUGGAGGUAGUAAAAAGAUAGCUGGCAGUUAGUGGGGAAGGAGGAAUGGAUGGGCAGAGCACUGAGGACUUUAGAGCUGUGGAAUUUUACUGCAACAUGCAUAUAUUAUGUGAAUGCAUAGUAUCAUACAUUUGUGAGAAUCUGUGGACUGUAUACCACUCAGCAUGAACCCUAACAUCAACUAUGAACUUUGGGUGAUAAUGACAUGUCAGUGUUGGUUCAU
rnacentral:lncRNA from 1 species